UACACCUCAAGUGAGAGGUCUGAUUCUCAAGACAAAUCUAGUGGCAGUUUUGGAUCUAAAGGUGAAAAAGAUGCUAGCUCCUCAGACUGAGUUGUGGUGAUGAUGGUCCCCCUAUUAUAAUGAUGUGUGUUCUGGAUGCUUGGAUGCAUUGAUGUUUUCUGUUUGAUGUUUGUUGUUUUUUUUGGCUGUCUUUUUUUAUGCGAUGAUGUUAUUUUUGGGCUCUUUAUGAGUUCCCUGGAU
rnacentral:lncRNA from 1 species